AGGGGUGCAUGUCACGAGAGUCGGAUAGUUAUUUUCUACGGAGCCGAGUGGUGGAAAGGGUUGCCAGCGUAAUCGAGUCAUCGUUUGAAAGUACGAUAAUGGAGGAUUCAGUACGGUCAGCCACAGCGGGUGAAGACCACGUGAACGCUAUUAUCGCGACUUUAAAUGCCUUGCGGGCAUCAGUUGAAGAGUUGCGGAACAGUACGCUGGAAAGCCUGAGGGAUAUCGUGAGACUACGAGAAGAAAUGCAACCACAAAGUGAAGAAAAUGUAACUGUACAUCCAGCACCAAGCGAGGUAAGACACAGUUGUGCCAGCCACACAUUUGGCGGUAAAAUUAUACGACUUGCCAACUUUUAGCGGUAAUGCCGAAGAGUGGCAUCUGUUCGUAGCCAACUUUAAUGAAACUACGCAGGCAUUUAGCUACAAUAAUCGACAAAAUUUAAUGCGUUUACAAAAGUGCUUGGUGGGGCCAGCAAAAGUAGCAGUGGUAUCAAUGUUAAUUUACCCUGACGACGUGCCAAAUGUGUUGAACGAGUUGGAGUUUAGGUUCGGUAGGCCCGACAUUUUAGUAAAAUGGCAGCUUAGUAAAUUACAACAACUCCCGACUAUAGCCGAGCACAAGCCUGAGCAGAUAGUGACAUUUUCUACCAAGGUGCGUAACGUGGUAGCGUUUUUGAAAUCUGCGAAGUGUGACCAGCACUUAUCGAAUAGGUACCCCACAAUAAAAGAUUUUUCUGCAUGGCUUAGUGACUUAGCCAGAGUUGUUUGUUUGAUGCCGGCUGCCAACACAAAUAUUUACAAGCAUAAUGUGUCGUCAGCUAAUCCCCGACGUUUGAUGCACAUACAAGAUGAAAGCCCAGCAGAGCCCAUGAAGUGUUUCCAUUGUGGCGGCAACCAUUCAAUCGCAAGGUGUGAAGUCUUUAAAACGGUAGGUGUAGCAGAAAGAUGGGAAGUGGUAAAAAUGUGUCAACUGUGUUUUGAUUGUCUUCGCAAAGGACAUAGUUCGUCGAAAUGCCUGUCUAAGAAGCCUUGUAAUAUAAAUGGCUGUGCAAGGUACCACAACCAAUUGUUACACAGUGAUGAACAACAAUCCGUACCGCAACAAGCAACCCAACGACAGAUUAGCACGCAGCCGCUGCUGAAUUGCCGUCUUGUACAGCAGACGUCUAAGCAGCUAUUUAAAACUCUUCCGGUUAACCUUUAUGGGCCGAAUGGUAAAUACAAAGUUUUGACAAUGUUCGAUGAAGGGUCAGCGAUCACAGUAAUAGAAGAUGAGACUGCUAAGAGCAUUGGGCUUAAGGGUCACCGUCAACCCCUUACACUCCAGUGGUACAACUACAGGGUCGUGACCGAUUCAUUCAAGGUAACCUUUGAAAUUGGUAGCUGUUGCGAUAAUACUAGAUUUUCAUUGAAAAACGUACAUACGGUAAAAAAUCUGAAUUUACCUAAGCAGUCUUUUGCCAAAGAAGAUUUCUACCAUUUAAGGGACCUGCCAUUGCAAGACUACAGCAUGGCGAAACCAGUUUUGUUGAUCGGUUUAAAUGAAGCACAUUUAGGUAUCAGCUCGAGUACCGUUCUGGCCGACCAUGAAAGUCCGGUGGUUAUCAAAACGUCAUUGGGUUGGGUGGCGUAUGGCCCGACCAAGUUUGUGUCAACGACUAUGCGAACGCACAACGUUAUUUAUGGCGGAACCGGGGACUCCAACGAACCUAUAUAAGAAUUUUUGAUGACAACUAUGAUUUUCGGUGCAGUUUGCUCACCGUGUACCGCCGAGCGCGUGAAGAAUAAAAACGCCGAAAGAUUUGAAACAGAAUUCCCGAAAGCGGCACCUGCCAUAAUAAAUAAUCACUACGUGGAUGACCUGGUUGCCAGUUUGACGAUACACACGAAGCCAUUACAGUCUGCCAACAGAUUGUAAACAUCAAUUUGGAAGCAGGUUUCGAAUUACGAGAUUUCAUAUCCAACUGCAGUAACGUAGAGAGAGCGUUGAACAAAACACCACCAACAACGCGUGAAACAAUUAACAUGGCACGCAGUGAAACCGCCAAAAAGGUCCUCGGCAUGUACAGGAACACCAAAAAAGACGCAUUCGAGUUCCAUACGAAGUUUCAUCGUUUCGUACCGCAAUCAGUGCUUUCUAGUGAGCGAGCUCCGACGAAGCGGGAGUUACUCAGCAUCGUAAUGGCAGUUUUCGACCCAUUUGGGCUAUUGGCGAAUUUAUUAAUCUCAUCGAAAAUUUUGGUGCAAAAAACCUGGAGGCAAGGCAUCAACUGGGACGAAGCUCUUUCUGCAGAUCUGACAGCGAAAUGGAUACCCUCGUGGAAAGAGUUUCAGCGCACCAGAAAUUUUCAGAUUCCACGGUACUACUCGGCCAAUAUCUCAUGUAGCAGCAACAUAGAAUUGCACAUUUUUGUCGACGCUAGCCAAGUAGCAUUUGCAGCAGUUGGUUACUUCCGCGUGGUGCACAACGGCGUAGUGGACGUGACUUUCGUAAUGGCUAAAACUCGCACCGCCCCUAAUCGCUUAAUGUCUAUUCCUAGACUUGAGUUGCAAGCAGCAGUAUUGGGCACCAGAUUAACUACUCGCAGACUGUAUUGCAAUGGAUUUAUUCCUCCGAGAGAAAAUACAAGGCCUUCGUAGGUCAUCGCUUUGCUGAAAUCAUAAGCGUAACUGUUCCUGAGCAGUGGCGUUGGGUUACAACUAAUAGCAACCCAGAAGACGCAGCUACACGACCGUCAACUCCACCUAGGUUCAAUACAGAUGACCGCUGGAUCAACGGCCCUGAAUUCCGUAAGUACAGCGAGCUACAUUGGCCAGCCACUAUUGUCGAGCGUCCCGCAGUAAUGCUUGAAGAAGUUCAACCCAGCCGUCUCCUUUAUUGUCAGGCAAGUAAAAAUUUCAUUGAUUUUACUAAAUUUCGUUCAUACUUGAAGAUAAAACGGAUAGUCGCAUGGGUGUUACGAGCCAAAUUGUUGUUUAAUAGAAAGUCAGUCAAUAUGCGUCUGUCGAAUGUACUUACCGCUGCGGAAAUUGAAGAAGAUCUGUAAAACGGUGCAACAAGAGUGUUUCGCAAGCGAGAUUUCAGACCUCUCUUCGUCGCGUCAGCAUUCAGACAGAGUGCGGUGUACAGUCUUACACCCUAUCUCGACGAAAAGGGCCUUCUGAGGUUAAAUGGUCGCAUCGAUAUGGCAAUGUAUUUACUUUUCGAGACGCGUCAUCCUAUUUUAUUCCCGGCGAAGCACAUCGUCGCAGAACUAAUCGUAAAGCACCAUCACGAGAAAGGUCAUCAUCAGAACCUCGCAGUUAUAAUCAAUACAGUACGACAAAAAUUCUGGAUUCCCCAUAGUAAAACGCUCUACAAGAGAGUGCAGCGAAACUGUCUUGAAUGCAGAUUGACCAAAGCAAAGCCAGUCGCGCCUAUGAUGGGGCAGCUGCCAGCUGACCGCGUUACACCCUAUGUACGACCAUUUUCUUACACAGGCGUAGACCUGUUUGGGCCUUUAAAUGUCGCAAUCGGGCAUAGACGAGAGAAGAGGUGGGGUGUUAUCUUCA